GCUUUACUGUAGCCUGGAAUUGGGUUCGGGCUUCGCUUGCGCAGGAUAGGUGGGAGGCUUUGAAGCUGCCCUUGUGGGGUAGUGGAGCCAACGGUGAGAUACCACUCUGGCGAGGCUAGAUUCUAACCUUAUACCGUAAUCCGGUAAGGAACCGUUUCAGGUGGGCAGUUUGACUGGGCGGUCGCCUCCUAAAAGGUAACGGAGGCGCGCAAAGGUUCUCUCAGGCUGGUUGGAAAUCAGCCAUAGAGUGUAAAGGCAUAAAGGAGCUUGACUGCAAGAGUGACAACUCAAGCAGGGACGAAAGUCGGUCUUAGUGAUCCGACGGUACGCGUGGAAGCGCCGUCGCUCAACGGAUAAAAGUUA
rnacentral:rRNA from 1 species